rnacentral:rRNA from 1 species
GAUGAACGCUAGCGGCAGGCCUAACACAUGCAAGUCGAGGGGGAAGUUACUUUCGGGUAACAGAGACCGGCGUACGGGUGCGUAACGCGUAUACAAUCUGCCUUUCACUGGGGGAUAGCCCGAAGAAAUUUGGAUUAAUACCCCAUAGUAUAGUAAUACGGCAUCGUGAUACUAUUAAAGCUUAGGUGGUGAAAGAUGAGUAUGCGUUCUAUUAGUUAGUUGGAGAGGUAACGGCUCCCCAAGGCGAUGAUAGAUAGGGGUUCUGAGAGGGAUGUCCCCCACACUGGUACUGAGAUACGGACCAGACUCCUACGGGAGGCAGCAGUGAGGAAUAUUGGACAAUGGUCGGAAGACUGAUCCAGCCAUGCCGCGUGCAGGAUGAAGGUCUUAUGGAUUGUAAACUGCUUUUGUAAGGGAAGAAUAAGGGCUACGUGUAGUUUGAUGACGGUACCUUACGAAUAAGCAUCGGCUAACUCCGUGCCAGCAGCCGCGGUAAUACGGAGGAUGCGAGCGUUAUCCGGAAUCAUUGGGUUUAAAGGGUCUGUAGGCGGGCUGGUAAGUCAGAGGUGAAAGCGCUCAGCUCAACUGAGCAACUGCCUUUGAAACUGUUGGUCUUGAAUGGUUGUGAAGUAGUUGGAAUGUGUAGUGUAGCGGUGAAAUGCUUAGAUAUUACACAGAACACCGAUAGCGAAGGCAUAUUUACUAACAAUUGAUUGACGCUGAUGGACGAAAGCGUGGGGAGCGAACAGG